rnacentral:rRNA from 1 species
UGGGGAAUUUUGCACAAUGGGGGAAACCCUGAUGCAGCGACGCCGCGUGAUUUAGAAGGCCUUCGGGUUGUAAAAAUCUUUUCUAUGGGAAGAAAAUGACAGUACCAUAGGAAUAAGGACAGGCUAAUUACGUGCCAGCAGCCGCGGUAAUACGUAAGGUCCGAGCGUUGUCCGGAAUCAUUGGGCGUAAAGGGUACGUAGGCGGGUAAGCAAGUUAGAAGUGAAAUCCUAUAGCUCAACUAUAGUAAGCUUUUAAAACUGCUCAUCUUGAGGUAUGGAAGGGAAAGUGGAAUUCCUAGUGUAGCGGUGAAAUGCGCAGAUAUUAGGAGGAAUACCGGUGGCGAAGGCGACUUUCUGGCCAUAACCUGACGCUGAGGUACGAAAGCGUGGGUAGCAAACAGG